GGGGUAUGUUAAGCUGACUCUAGUCUGGAGAGGCUGGGCAUUCACCAAGCGGUUCUCAAACUUACGGCUGCAACAACCAGGAAGGGCUGAAAUACAGACACAGCCAUGAGCACCAGGGGCCCUUUCCUGUCCUGGCUGGAGGUCAAAUGGAGACUCAAGCUUCUGUAGCCCAGAAAGACAGAUGCCCCCCACUCGACUAGCAGCCAUUUGGACCCUGCCUGCUUUGCAUUCCUCCCCACGCUGAACCCCAUCUGCAAGCCAUCAAUACAGUAAACUCGGGGGCUACUGACAAUCCAAGCUACCGCUGCCCCUUGGGGCUCUCUCAUCACGAGACUCCCCAUCAUGUUGCUGGACCACAUCAUCUAGGCAUGAGGGGGCCUCUCCAUCUCCCUCUCCUCCAGGAGUUUCCUUGCCCUCCUCUUCUCGGUGAUGGCCCCAAGUGACUGACCAUGGAAGGUCUCAUGUUAUAAAGGACUUGAAAGCCCUUUUACCAGUGUAAACCCAAAUAAAGCUCAUUGUCUGCUACUGCCAA